rnacentral:rRNA from 1 species
GUCGUGAGAUGUUGGGUUAAGUCCGUAACGAGCGCAACCCUUGUCCUUAGUUACCAGCACGUUAUGGUGGGCACUCUAAGGAGACUGCCGGUGACAACCGGAGGAAGGUGGGGAUGACGUCAAGUCAUCAUGGCCCUUACGGCCUGGGCUACACACGUGCUACAAUGGUCGGUACAAAGGGUUGCCAAGCCGCGAGGUGGAGCUAAUCCCAUAAAACCGAUCGUAGUCCGGAUCGCAGUCUGCAACUCGACUGCGUGAAGUCGGAAUCGCUAGUAAUCGUGAAUCAGAAUGUCACGGUGAAUACGUUCCCGGGCCUU